CCCAGACCAGACUGGAUUAAUACUAAAUUAUUGGACAAGGAAAUGAAAAACAUCAAAGAGAGAUAAGAUGCAUGACCUACACCAAGACCAAGAGGAGGGGGACAUUCUAAUGCUCAGCAUCGCAGAGCCCACUUGUCACCAUUAUAUCAUCAGAGACGCAGGCAUUGCCAUUCAGCUGAAGAAGGUCCGAGAAUGCAGAUUGAAAGCUACAGCAUUUUCUGUGAGGGUAUUAUGAAGAAGAAGUUGCUGAGACAGAACAAAAACUUGUAAAUAAAAGCGUUAAGAAGCAGCGGUGUUUAUUUUCAUGAUGAGUAUACAAAAAUUGAGACGGUGAAAGUGGAUAACAACACAAGAGUACCAUAUGUGCAGCAUGUUGAUAAGCUCCAUGGAAAGUGUUGGAAAAUUAAGAAAGCUAAUAUCAGAUUCUGUUGAUUCAUUUGCAUAUUCCACCAGAUCAGCUAUCAUCAUUACCAGGCAGAGAAAUGAUGAAUAUUCAUUGAUUUCAGCUAGAACAGCAAAAACCAGCAAAACUGCAGAACUAACACCAAGUCAAGAACAACUUCUAAGAGGCAUAUAUAUCUUUCAGCGGGGCCAAGGGUGGUGGGUGGCGCGUAGGUUCCACGCGUGGCGAUCGCCUAUCAUAGGCAAUCGCUUCCGCUUGGAUAAUCCCAACUGUCUUUUUGCGCGAGACGCUGACGAAAUUUUCCAGAAAAGUUUCGUUAAGAUUUAUUGGAUUGUACAGUAUGUGUCGUUUGAAAUACAGUACACUACAAAUGAGUUGUAGUACAAUGAAAUA